UACGGAGGGGGCAAGCGUUAUUCGGAAUUAUUGGGCGUAAAGGGCGCGUAGGCGGCUAGAUGUGUCAAAGGUGAAAUCCCUCGGCUCAACUGAGGAACUGCCUUUGAAACUGUCUGGCUUGAGGCCGGGAGAGGGUAGCGGAAUUCCCAGUGUAGCGGUGAAAUGCGAAGAUAUCGGGAGGAACACCGGUGGCGAAGGCGGCGACCUGGGUAGAUACUGACGCUGAGGUACGAAAGCGUGGGGAGCAAACAGG
rnacentral:rRNA from 1 species